AAAUUGUAAAAGAUAGAAUACUCACGACUGUUGUAAAUAACUUCUUCGCUAGUGAAUAAAACUUGGGCUACUUUUUACUUGUUUUGAUGCAAAUUUGGGCUAUUUCUUGCAAAAUAUAAUUGGGCUUUUUUUGGGCUACUUUUAAAGGUAGCUCGGGCGGGUUUGCAGGCUACCCAUCUGGCAACACUGCAUGUCGGGUUCUAAGACAAACUGGCCCGAUCAAGUGGUGAGUUUGUUGCUCGAUACUGUCAGAGAAAGAGAGAAAAUUUGGAGUACCAAAAGUGAGCGCUACAAAAACAGAAAUAUGAAGAAUGCACACUACCAGGAAAUACUGCAGGCAAUCAAAGUUGAACUGCCAAACGUUGAUUUGCCAAGCAUCAAAGCAAAGAUAGAGCUUAAGAACAUUUUAUAGUGAAGAAGUUGGAAAAA